rnacentral:rRNA from 1 species
UACGAAGGGGGCUAGCGUUGUUCGGAAUUACUGGGCGUAAAGCGCACGUAGGCGGCUUGUUAAGUUAGGGGUGAAAUCCCGGGGCUCAACCCCGGAACUGCCUUUAAUACUGGCAAUCUCGAGUCCGAGAGAGGUGAGUGGAAUUCCGAGUGUAGAGGUGAAAUUCGUAGAUAUUCGGAGGAACACCAGUGGCGAAGGCGGCUCACUGGCUCGGUACUGACGCUGAGGUGCGAAAGCGUGGGGAGCAAACAGG